GAGUAUGGCGUCGAUGCUUACUGAAUCCACACAUGCACAACUUGUAGUGCAUUUAUCUCUCUUGGUCUUGGCAGUCAGUUCAACAUGCUCCAAUGGAUAUGUGGUCAUCAAGACAUAGUUAUGGUAGCUCAAUAUCUCUUCACUGCCAUGGACUUAUAUGCUGCAGAAACAUGAACUAUUGGAUUAAUAAAUUUCUCAACAUCCAAAACUUAACUAAUGGAUUGCAAACUUCAAGUUAAUAAGGAUCAUGGAUAGUAGUACUUGAAGUUAAUACAUAAAACUUGCAGCUAAUAAACAAACAUAGUACUAUUUUAGUUAACAUACAAUAAUUUUCCGGCUCUUCUUUGCACUUAAUAGCAUUUUUAGUACCUUACACACAACCUGAACUAAACACCAUCAAGGCCAGUACUGCCUUUGGAAGUUUGAAUAAAAAUGGUGUCCAAUUAACAGUUUUCUAGCGUUGUAACUUAAUUAUUGAAUUGGUGCAGUAGGGUGUUCACUUGUUGAAUUGGUUGAUAAUCUUGUGUGGGCUUUAAAUAUAACAUUGUUAGUGAAUGCUAAAUAAUUCUGCACUCUUGGAAUGGUGAGGUUGAGAAUGAGCCAGAGAUUAACUGGUGUGAACCUGGGGAGCCUGCAGGGAUGGAGGUCCUUCUUGGGAGUAAGGAUGGGUUCUUGACGAAGAGGAUUAAGAGUUAUAGCACAGGCCAGAGUGUUCCUACAAAGCCACAUGCAUUGCAAUGCCUUUCACCACUGAUAGCAGGUCAUGUAAGAGACAUCAUUUAACCAUUUGGAUAUGUGUUAAUGAUAGGCAACUAAUUUAUAAAAUUUUCGAAUAAGGUGGGUAAUGGAAUUGUUUGUUGAAUGAGAGUAAUGUUUAUUAUUGGUAAAGUAUCACAAUUCAGUAUGUUUGGCAUGGUAAAAUGAAGUGCAUCUGCCAAAAAGUAAGGUAAGUAACUAAGUAUCUUUUGGAUGCUUGGAGGAUCAAAUGCUGUUGCAGAAUGUUUGUUGACUAAUUGCAAGUCAAAUGAAUUAAAGGGAAAAACAGAUAAGCACUGAGAUUUUUUAUAUGAAAGAUGUGUGAGCCAACUUGCUAAGAGCUAUAAAUGUCCUGUCCCAGAAGUAGUGGCGGAGCCAACCCAAAUUUGAAGCAUAUCGACUCAGAAAAUUCAUCCAUGCCAACCAAACAAAUAGAAUAAUUACCUUGUUUUUGCACGGGUGUGAAGGAGCUAGAAAUGCAGAUCGGGUGUCACAAAUUCUAUAACCAAAUUGUAUAAUGCAUAAGCAUUCAAACAAUACACCCCUAAUUCUUUAGGCUAAACAAAGUACAGUAAGCCUAUGUUUCAGAUUUCAAGAUUACUAUUGGAUUGUGUUCAUCACACGAAUAGGUUAAGUACCAGCAUGCUAAUCAAUAAGAACAGUAAAGGGGCGUUACCUACAACAAAUGUUACAUCUGAAUAGAACUAACUUGGAGGCAAUGUAAGCUCUGAAUGUCUGAAACAAUGAAACGAAGUCUGAACUCUGAAAUUGUCUCCCCAGUCCUCACCUCAUCCCGUCGGUGCCAGUGGAUGGU
rnacentral:lncRNA from 1 species